UACGUAGGUGGCAAGCGUUAUCCGGAAUUAUUGGGCGUAAAGCGCGCGCAGGUGGUUUCUUAAGUCUGAUGUGAAAGCCCACGGCUCAACCGUGGAGGGUCAUUGGAAACUGGGAGACCUGAGUGCAGAAGAGGAAAGUGGAAUUCCAUGUGUAGCGGUGAAAUGCGUAGAGAUAUGGAGGAACACCAGUGGCGAAGGCGACUUUCUGGUCUGUAACUGACACUGAGGCGCGAAAGCGUGGGGAGCAAACAGG
rnacentral:rRNA from 1 species